rnacentral:lncRNA from 1 species
UUAUUUAAAAUUAUAAGGAAAUGAUGUAAUUAUAAAUUUUGCUUAAAUUUUGAAUUUCUGAUCUUUUAUUUAAACUAUGAUCACUUCUACUAAUAGAUACCAUUUCCAAAAAAGUCCUUUUGAAUUUAUUACCUUCAUUGCACAAAAUUUUUAUGUUGUCAAAAUCCAUGAUAUGAUCUUUGUCAAUCACAUGCUCUGCCAAAGCACAAGACGGUUUUUUGAUUCGGCAAUCACUUUUGUGGGAAAUUACU